rnacentral:pre_miRNA from 1 species
GGGGGGAAGCCGGAUCCUGGGCUGUGUCCCGGCGUUCUGUGCUCCGGGGCCUGUGCUGUUGGAUUCGCGCUCCCGCCCCGCAGCCCCCU